AGGUGGUCAUCCUGAUCACUGAUGGCCAGUCUAGUGACGAUGUCCGCACACCGGCACAGAGCCUCAAGAGUCAAGGUGUCACCAUUUCUGCUGUAGGAGUAGCCAAUUACAACAUGGGACAGCUUCAGGACAUUGCCGAUGGACCCGAGUAUGUGGCCACAGUGAAAGAGUUUGAUAAGAUGGACAGCAUCAGGGACAAAGUGUUGAAGGCUGUCUGUCAAGCCCAACAGAAACGUGGCCAAGAUAUCGAGGAAGAGAUCACCAAUGGCCUGCAGUACCUGAAGAACGCGUUGGGGGCGCUGGAGGAUAAGCUGGAGCAAGGAAUUUAAACCAAGCAAUGAGUACAAUUGUAACGCUAGUUCACCUUUAUCCGCGGGGUAACCUAUAACCGUUGUUUUUUUAAAACUUCAUUGAUGAUUGCAUUUGGGGGUAUCAAGUCUACGAACGGUGGUUUCAAAUUCAAUAUUUUGAUAAUCCUGAGUACACUGUUCUUAACAACAAUGGAUAUAGGUUACCCCCGGAUAAAGGUGAACUAGCGUGGAAUCGUAUCGCAAGACGGGGGAUUUUGAAGAACAACAUCAUUCAAGUUUGGAAGCAGAGGACCUAGCAUAAUGUAAGGUGGAAAACUAGAGGGGAAUAGUUAUUCAAUAAGUAAUAAGUUGAUGAAGGCAAUUGCAGUAUACACAGUAGGUAUCAACAGUUUUCAAAAGUUGUUUGGGAUUUUGCAUUUCUGGAGGAAUCAGAGCAAUUUUAGCAUCAAUAAUUUUUAGGACUUUUAAGUUAUUAGAAUAAGAAAGACUUCUUAGUUUAGUUUGUUUUUAUAGUUAAUUAGUCUUUUUUCAGUUAAUCAUAAUGGUAAAGUAUAGACAAGGUGCGUUACAUAGAAUGAAGUUAAGACACUAUUACAGGUAUUAUCAACCUCUGUAUACUUGAGCUUUAUUUCCAAGGUGGCUCUUGAGCUUUCUUUCCUAGGUGCCUGUCGGGGAUGCA